AGGAGUGCAAGAAGAUGACUUUGUUAUUUCUAUUGUCGUAAUGUGUAAAGUCUUGCUUGAGAAUGCUCCGGACACUUAGCUGUAGAAGGAAGAAUAGAAAUUGCGAUAAAAAAAUCCUAAUUCUAAUAGAAUAUUAACAAUACUCUAAUUAGACUAUAAUAAUGAUAAACAAACAUAAUCAAAUUCAAAACAACUCAAAGAAAUUUCAAACAAACAAUAAAAUUUUUAAAGAAUUAUUAGAAUGAUCACAAAUAUUACUCAAAUAUAAGUCAAUUCAACCUUAAUUUAAUUCUAGUUAAAACCCUAUUAAAUUUCACUCAAACUUUAGACUAAACUUAAUUAAAUCUUAAACCCUAAUAAAUCCUAAAUCCUAAGUCAAAUCCUAAAUAAAUAUUAAAUUAAAUCCUAAAUCAAAUCCUAUUUCAAAUCCUAAAUCCUAAAUCAAAUCCUAAAUCAAACCCUAAAUCAAAUCCUAAAUCCUAAUCCAAACUCUAAUCCAACCCUAAAUCCUAAUCCAAAUCCUAAACUCUAAACCAAACCUUAAAUCAAAUCCUAAUUCAAAUUCUAAAUCAAACCCUAACCAAAUCCUAAAUCCUAAUCCAAACCCUCAAUCAAAUCCUAAUCAAAUCCUAAAUCCUAAUCCAAUUCCUAAUUCAACCCUAAAUCCUAACCAAAUCCUAAACCCUAAUCCAAAUCCUAAUCCAAACCCUAAAUCAAACCCUAACCAAA
rnacentral:lncRNA from 1 species